rnacentral:rRNA from 1 species
AAUCAACGCUGGCGGCGUGCCUAACACAUGCAAGUCGAGCGCGAAAGUGGACUUCGGUCCACGAGUAGAGCGGCGAACGGGUGAGUAACGCGUGGGUGAUCUACCCUCGAGUGGGGAAUAACACCGGGAAACUGGUGCUAAUACCGCAUGACACCUUCGGUUCGUUCCGAAGGUCAAAGCCGGGGACCGUAAGGCCUGGCGCUUGAGGAGGAGCCCGCGUCCGAUUAGCUUGUUGGCGGGGUAAUGGCCCACCAAGGCUUCUAUCGGUAGCCGGCCUGAGAGGGCGGACGGCCACACUGGGACUGAGACACGGCCCAGACUCCUACGGAGGCAGCAGUGGGGAAUUUUCCGCAAUGGGGGAAACCCUGACGGAGCAACGCCGCGUGGAGGAUGAAGGCCCUCGGGUCGUAAACUCCUGUCGAUCGGGAAGAAUGCGUCCGACUUUAAUACGUCGGUGCGUUGACUGUACCGGUGGAGGAAGCCACGGCUAACUCUGUGCCAGCCGCCGCGGU